rnacentral:rRNA from 1 species
AGAACGAACGCUGGCGGCAUGCCUAACACAUGCAAGUCGAACGAAUAAGAGCCUAGCUUGCUAGGAAUUCUGUUAGUGGCAGACGGGUGCGUAACACGUGGGAACUUACCUUGCAGUAUGGGAUAACAACGGGAAACUGUUGCUAAUACCAUAUACUCUCUGAGGAGAAAAGAUUUAUCGCUGUAAGAUAGGCCCGCGCUAGAUUAGGUAGUUGGUGGGGUAAUGGCCUACAAAGCCUACGAUCUAUAGCUGGUCUGAGAGGACGACCAGCCACACUGGGACUGAGACACGGCCCAGACUCUUACGGGAGGCAGCAGUGGGGGAAUAUUGGACAAUGGGCGAAAGCCUGAUCCAGCAAUGUCGCGUGAAUGAUGAAGGCCUUAGGGUUGUAAAGUUCUUUCGGUGGGGAAGAUAAUGACGGUACCCACAUAAGAAGCUCCGGCUAACUCCGCGCCAGCAGCCGCGGUAA